rnacentral:rRNA from 1 species
UGCGAGUGAAGCGGCAAAAGCUCAAAUUUGAAAUCUGUGCCCUCAAGGGCACCGAGUUGUAACCUUGAGAUACGUUUUCGACCGACAGGCCUGCCUUAAGUUCCUUGGAACAGGACGUCACAGAGGGUGAGAAUCCCGUGAACGGUAGGCCUCGAGGCGCAUGAUACGUAUUCGACGAGUCGAGUUGUUUGGGAAUGCAGCUCAAAGUGGGUGGUAAAUUUCAUCUAAAGCUAAAUAUUGGGGAGAGACCGAUAGCGCACAAGUAGAGUGAUCGAAAGAUGAAAAGCACUUUGAAAAGAGAGUUAAAAAGUACGUGAAAUUGUUGAAAGGGAAGCGCUUGAGACCAGACUCAAUCUCCGUUGAUCAACUUCAGUUCUCUGUUGUGCACUCGGCGGCUUUUGGGACAGCAUCGGUUCCCGCGGAGGGACAAAGCCUCAGGAAAUGUGGCACCCUUCGGGGUGUGUUAUAGUCCUCUGGGCAAUGCCUCCAGCGGGGACCGAGGACCGCGCUCCGGCUAGGAUGCUGUCAUAAUGGUCUCCAGCGACCCGUCUUGAAACACGGACCAAGGAGUCUAACAUCUAUGCGAGUGUUCGGGUGGAAAACCCUUGCGCGUAAUGAAAGUGAACGGAGGUGGGAAUCGCAAGACGCACCAUCGACCGAUCCUGAAGUCUUCCGAAGGAUUUGAGUAUGAGCAUAGCUGUUGGGACCCGAAAGAUGGUGAACUAUGCCUGAAUAGGGUGAAGCCA